rnacentral:rRNA from 1 species
AGACCCGAAACCCGGUGAUCUAGCCAUGGGCAGGUUGAAGGUUGGGUAACACUAACUGGAGGACCGAACCGACUAAUGUUGAAAAAUUAGCGGAUGACCUGUGGCUGGGGGUGAAAGGCCAAUCAAACCGGGAGAUAGCUGGUUCUCCCCGAAAGCUAUUUAGGUAGCGCCUCGUGAAUUCAUCUCCGGGGGUAGAGCACUGUUUCGGCUAGGGGGCCAUCCCGGCUUACCAACCCGAUGCAAACUGCGAAUACCGGAGAAUGUUAUCACGGGAGACACACGGCGGGUGCUAACGUCCGUCGUGAAGAGGGAAACAACCCAGACCGCCAGCUAAGGUCCCAAAGUCAUGGUUAAGUGGGAAACGAUGUGGGAAGGCCCAGACAGCCAGGAUGUUGGCUUAGAAGCAGCCAUCAUUUAAAGAAAGCGUAAUAGCUCACUGGUCGAGUCGGCCUGCGCGGAAGAUGUAACGGGGCUAAACCAUGCACCGAAGCUGCGGCAGCGACACUCAGGUGUUGUUGGGUAGGGGAGCGUUCUGUAAGCCUGUGAAGGUGUGUCGUG